ACCCGCUGAACUUAAGCAUACCAAUAAGCGGAGGAAAAGAAACCAACAGGGAUUGCCUUAGUAACGGCGAGUGAAGCGGCAACAGCUCAAAUUUGAAAUCUGGCCUCUUUGGGGUCCGAGUUGUAAUUUGCAGAGGGCGCUUUGGCGUUGGCAGCGGUCCAAGUUCCUUGGAACAGGACGUCACAGAGGGUGAGAAUCCCGUACGUGGUCGCUAGCCUUCGCCGUGUAAAGCCCCUUCGACGAGUCGAGUUGUUUGGGAAUGCAGCUCUAAAUGGGAGGUAAAUUUCUUCUAAAGCUAAAUACUGGCCAGAGACCGAUAGCGCACAAGUAGAGUGAUCGAAAGAUGAAAAGCACUUUGGAAAGAGAGUCAAACAGCACGUGAAAUUGUUGAAAGGGAAGCGCUUGCAGCCAGACUUGCCUGUAGUUGCUCAUCCGGGCUUUUGCCCGGUGCACUCUUCUGCGGGCAGGCCAGCAUCAGUUUGGGCGGUUGGAUAAAGGUCUCUGUCAUGUACCUCUCUUCGGGGAGGCCUUAUAGGGGAGACGACAUGCAACCAGCCCAGACUGAGGUCCGCGCAUUUGCUAGGAUGCUGGCGUAAUGGCUGU
rnacentral:rRNA from 1 species